GCCCACAUAGCUCAGUAGGUAGAGCGUCGCCUUGGUAAGGCGGAGGCCACCGGUUCAAUCCCGGUUGUGGGCUCCA
rnacentral:tRNA from 1 species